rnacentral:snoRNA from 1 species
GAGCGAGACUCCGCCUCAAAAAUAUAUAUAUAUAUAUAUAUAUAGUGUGGUCAUGGGAUCUCCAACUGCAUGUAAGAGCAACCUGGAGAGACUUUGACAGAACAGGUCAGCAUAAUACCUGCAGCUGCCACUCGUCUUUCCUAGUGUG